UAAAGAAGCAAACUGCUAUUUUUAAGACAUUUAUCUUGACUCACGAUCUUCACACAUUAAACUUCCUCGGUGCACUUCUUCUUCUUUUGAAACACGUCACUGCCAAGAAUGCAUCGGGGGGACUGCACGCAGUGUGAGCUUCAGAUCCAUUAUGAGCAUUUCAAUGAUUGUGGCAUACUGUAUGAGUGUUUGGGAUAAAUAUAUAAGAUUGUGAUUCAUAGUAGAUGGUAUAACCUCAUCACAUAAACAAAAGAAACUGGAUAAUGCCACCUUGGGAAUUUCACCCGAGGAGUUAGAUUGGACUGUACCACAAACAGACACUCAGGUUUGUUAUACUGAGGAGAGUGAGACAUGCUUCCAGUUUUCAAAGGUAAAAUGAACCCAUCUCACCACCGGUUGAUGAGGGCCGAUAUAAUCAAGGUGAAGGUGAACUUUAUUAUCCCAGAGGGGGAUUUCCUUUACAGCCAGCAGUGGGUAAAAGAAGAAAGUUAACUUAAAUGCAAACACCUCAAGGGAGGGAUUCACAUGAUGCUGUUGAGGAGAUCAAUGGUACAAGGGACAAGGAGGACUUUUUUAAUUUGUUCGUCCUGCACCUAGGCAGAGUUUAUCUGCAACCAGCACCUUGUAUUCAAGGCCGCCCAGAAGGGGGGGGGGGAAGGAGAAAGCUUUCCAAAUGUUCUGAACCAUCACACUGAGCCUCUGACAGAAACAAACAAAGCUUUAACUUUAAAUGACUUCUCAACACUCAACCCACAACCAUGCAGACUUUCCACUUCACUGAGAUGUUUUAAAGUGUUUUUUUUUUUUUAAUCUUUAACUCUAUAGUUUUGAUAAUAACUUACUAAGUAGUUGAUGCAGUUACUGCUUCUUUCAGACCAAUCAGAGCUCUCAGCUUGGCCUUGAGUUAGCUGUUUGAUUUUAUCUCUUGUUGUGUUUUUGCAUUUGUGUCUUCAGUGAACGAAGAACCAGAAGAAGAAACUCUUUGACCACACCGGGCCAUCAUAGUGCCUAUCAGCCUAUUGGUGUUGAAAUCUAUAUAAAUGGGUGUGCCCCCCCCCCCCCCUCCUUUGUUAAAAAAUGAUCACCUGAAGAAGACAUCAGGGAGGAAUGUUGUGAUUUUGAUGGAAUAAAAUCAAAAUCUGUGAAGUCAUUUAAAUAUGAAAUAUUAACUUUGCCCACCUCUGGUUCCUGUUCAUCAGAUUGUACAGGUUCUUCUGAUCUGGACUUGGUCAUGUUGGCUCUGCGUGUGGCUGAACUCCUCCUGAUUACUGUGAUCACUGUUCUUCUCUUCAGAGCUCGAGGGAACCAGAGACCACCUGAUGACAUCACUGUGCUUGAUGAUGGAGAUGAAGGCUCAGUGAACUAUGAAAAUGAUGGAGAACCUUCUGCUUCUGUCAGACUCCACUGAUCAACAACUUCCACACAAACAUCCACUCAGCAGAUACAUUAAUCCACCGCUUUUUAUCAUUUCUAUAUCGUACUUUUGAGCAUAAAAACAUGGAUCCACAUUUCAUUUGAGGUACUAAGUGAGGAUUUAAUAAAUGUACUGAAAUAUGAAGUUGAUAUUUGUUACGGCGUCCUUAACCAAAAUUAUUAAACCAAGGCUCAAAACUCAGAGACCGAAAACAUACAAGGACGCCACAAAGAUUUAAAGUUCAACCCAAGCUUUAUUUAAUGUAAAUACCACCCUCCCCCCAAAGUAAUCAAAGAUAAAUAAGAAACUAAAGAAACAAAAGGGGCUGGAGACCCCGACAAAAAAAAAAAAAAGAUGGGAAGAUGCUGAGCCAACCACGUAAUGUGUCGUCAUUAUGGCACCUCCCCCUAAAACUACCUAAGAAGAAAAGAUUAAACUAAAGAAACCAAAAGACCCAAAAUAGGACUAACAGUGAUCUCCAGUCCAAACUCAAAUAAUAAAACCAAAC